rnacentral:rRNA from 1 species
AUGAUCCCGCUCUUGUUGCUGCUCUUCGCUUCCUUCUUUCUCUGAUUCACGCCGCCUGCCGGCGCGACCUGCUCAUCCAAGAGAUGUGGCGACCUGAACAUCACCUACCCGUUCUGGCUGGAGGAGCCCGGCCGGCCGCCCUGCGGGUCCCCGUCGUUCCAGCUCAAUUGCAAUGGAAGCCAAGCGCUCCUCAGUCGCUCCAGCUUGGGGGGCUACCAGGUCGUUAGUGUCUUCACCGAGAACUCCUCCUUCAUCGCCGUGGACAACAACCUCCCGCUAGAUGACGGCUGCCCCAAGGGGUGGUUCAACAUCUCAUUAGAUCUCGGGCUGAGUCCGUACGUCAUCAGCAACAAGAACAGCGAGCUGCUCGUCCUCGACAAGUGCACGGAACAGCGGGUGACGCCGCCUGGAUUCAACCGCACGCGUUGCGCCAAUCAGUCCUUCUUCCGCCUUGGCGGGGAGUACGGCAGUCACCGUGAACCGGGCGUUGUCCCGCUGGCCUGCCGUCUCUCGGUCGUGCCGGUUCUUGGUUUUGCGGAUGGCGACGAUUACGUCUCCAGCAUGAGGCAAGGGUUCCUGCUUGAGUGGGCAGUUCCGUCAGAUAAUUGUGCCAAGUGCGAGGCAAGCCGCGGGCUGUGCAGGUAUGCCAACGACGGCUCCGGGUUUUUCUGCAAUUGCUCCGGCGACGUGUACCCCGAGAAGUGCGGUAGUGAGAGGAGAGGGAAGAAGAUUAUGCUAAUAGGUACUACAUCAGCAGCUGCAACCUUUCUCUGUGCAUGUCUUUAUGUGCUGAUAUGGCAUAGAAAAGGGAAAAGACUAUGGUUUCUCCUUUGCAAGAAGGCUAGCAGCAACACUGAGAAGAAUUACGAGGCCAUGAUAGUAUCAUAUGGAUCCCUAGCUCCAAAAAGAUACAUGUACUCAGAGGUAAUGAAGAUAACUUCUUCUCGUAACGAACAGCUUGGUAAAGGUGGUUAUGGUGUGGUUUUCAAAGGAAAACUAUACGAUGGUCGCCUGGUUGCUGUGAAAUUCUUGCAUGACUGCAAAGGAAAUGGGGACGAAUUUGUGAAUGAGGUUAUGAGCAUUGGCACGACCUCUCAUGUUAAUGUUGUUAGCUUAUUUGGAUUUUGUUUGGAGGGCUCAAAACGAGCUCUUAUAUACGAGUACAUGCCCAAUGGUUCCUUGGAUAAGUACAUUUACUCAGAGAACCCCGAAGAAAUUUUAGGAUGGGAGAGGCUCUAUGCGAUAGCACUCGGGAUUGCUCGUGGCCUCGAAUACUUGCACCAUAGCUGUAAUACACGUAUCGUCCACUUUGAUAUCAAGCCCCAAAAUAUCCUUCUAGAUAAAGAUUUUUGCCCAAAGAUUGCUGAUUUUGGUCUAGCUAAAUUGUGUCAUACAAAGGAGAGCAAGCUUUCAAUGACUGGUGCUAGAGGAACAAUUGGGUUCAUCGCUCCAGAAGUUCACUCUCGAACCUUCGGAGUGGUUUCAACAAAGUCAGAUGUUUAUAGUUAUGGAAUGAUGCUUUUGGAGAAGGUUGGAGGCAGGAGAAAUGUAAAAUCAAUUGUUGAAAAUUCCAGCGAAAAGUAUUUUCCAGACUGGAUUUACGACCACUUUGCGCAAGAUGAUGGAUUACAAGCAUGUGAAAUCACAAGAGAAAUGGAGGAAAUCGCGAGAAAGAUUACCUUAAUUGGCUUGUGGUGCAUACAGAUAUUACCUGCAUAUCGCCCUACUAUAACCAAGGUUCUAGAAAUGUUUGAGAGAAGUUCAGAUGGCAUGGACAUGCCACCAAAGCAAAACUUCUGUGGGUUGAUUGAAAAUUCAGCUCACAAUUAUAAUGUACAAAGUGCAAGUUCUACCAGAUCUGAGGAGAUUUGA